UCGGGAAUUUUGGGCAAUGGGGGAAACCCUGACCCAGCAACGCCGCGUGAAGGAUGAAGUAUUUCGGUAUGUAAACUUCGAAAGAAUAGGAAGAAUAAAUGACGGUACUAUUUAUAAGGUCCGGCUAACUACGUGCCAGCAGCCGCGGUAAUACGUAGGGUGCAAGCGUUAAUCGGAAUUACUGGGCGUAAAGCGUGCGCAGGCGGUUGUGUAAGUCAGAUGUGAAAUCCCCGGGCUCAACCUGGGAAUUGCAUUUGAGACUGCACGGCUAGAGUGUGUCAGAGGGGGGUAGAAUUCCACGUGCAGCAGUGAAAUGCGUAGAUAUGUGGAGGAAUACCGAUGGCGAAGGCAGCCCCCUGGGAUAACACUGACGCUCAUGCACGAAAGCGUGGGGAGCAAACAGGAUUAGAUACCCUAGUAGUCCCUGAGCGGGCUGGCAAGGCGCAU
rnacentral:rRNA from 1 species